UACGUAGGGUGCGAGCGUUAAUCGGAAUUACUGGGCGUAAAGCGUGCGCAGGCGGUUAUGUAAGACAGAAGUGAAAUCCCCGGGCUCAACCUGGGAACUGCCUUUGUGACUGCAUGACUAGAGUACGGCAGAGGGGGAUGGAAUUCCGCGUGUAGCAGUGAAAUGCGUAGAUAUGCGGAGGAACACCGAUGGCGAAGGCAAUCCCGUGGGCCUGUACUGACGUUCAUGCACGAAAGCGUGGGGAGCAAACAGG
rnacentral:rRNA from 1 species